rnacentral:misc_RNA from 1 species
GGGCAAAAUAUGACAGAUAUUGACAAUGUAAUUUUUUCCCUUUUGAGAAAAAUUAUUAAAGGUCAUUCAUCCCCCUUUUUUUUUUUUAGAUAAAACCGACAAAAAUUUUAUGUUUGUAAUACAACAAGUUACAUGUAAGACUGUGGAAAUAUAAGAGUGGCAUUCAUGAUACUACAAGAGUUUUGUCCUCUUGCCAUGAUGAUUAUGCCGAUUAUCUGAAAUUUAACGACUAAGUGAUUCCAACAACAUUCACUGCUUACGUGAUGGUAAUAAUCAAACAAGAUCCGAUAAGUUGACAAAUGGGAGGGGGAAAAAAACCAACUGACUUCUAGCUGUCACUUUACAUCAUGGUAGAGGACGAUGAUACGGUGUCAUAAUUAUUAAAAUCAAGAAUAAGAAUCAGUAUGAUUGUAUGUUACCAUAAAUUUAUUUUCUGCCUUGAUGGUGUUUAUUUAUUUCCAAAACAAGAAAGCCAGUAAAUUGUAAUUUAUUGAAGUACAUGUAAAUGUAUUCGGUUUUUAAAAGUAUAUUGUAGAGAAAAAAAAAAAUGUUUUAUUACAGUGCUUGUGUUGCUAUUUAUCCUACAUGUACCAUUCAUGUGAAUAAACUGUACAU